rnacentral:rRNA from 1 species
CACGUAGGGGACGAGCGUUGUCCGGAAUUAUUGGGCGUAAAGAGCUCGUAGGCGGUUUGUCGCGUCUGCUGUGAAAACUCGGGGCUUAACCCCGGGCCUGCAGUGGGUACGGGCAGACUAGAGUGCGGUAGGGGAGACUGGAAUUCCUGGUGUAGCGGUGAAAUGCGCAGAUAUCAGGAGGAACACCGGUGGCGAAGGCGGGUCUCUGGGCCGUAACUGACGCUGAGGAGCGAAAGCGUGGGGAGCGAACAGG